AGUGAACGCUGGCGGCGUGCCUAAUACCUGCAAGUCGAACGAAGUGGCGCACGGGUGAGUAAUAUAUAGUUAAUCUGCCCUACACAGAGGAACACCCGUUGGAAACGACUGCUAAUACCUCAUAGUUUAGGAUGAGACGAAAUCGUAUCAGCUAGUUGGUAAGGUAAUGGCUUACCAAGGCUAUGACGCGUAACUGGUCUGAGAGGAUGAUCAGUCACAUUGGAAAUGAGGCACGGUCCAAACUCCUACCGGAGGGAGCAGUAAGGGAUAUUGCGCAAGGGGGGAAACCCUGAAGCAGCAACGGCGCGUGGAGGACACCACUUUUCGGAGAGUAAACGGCUUUUAUCAGGAAAGCGGUACCUGAUGAAUAAGCACCGGCUAACUCCGUGCCAGCAGCCGCGGUAAUUC
rnacentral:rRNA from 1 species